UACAAUACCAAACGACCCCUUAAACAUGAGAGAGGGUUUUAUCCUUAGAGAAACCCUAGCUGCCUUUCGUUUACUCUCUCUUUCAUCGCGUCAUAUGCCGAAAGCGGCAAGUUUUGCGGGCCGCAAUGCUCCUGUGGACUUGGUAUGGUUGAAAAUAGAAAGAGCAUUUAUUGCUCUUCCAUUUUUAACCAAAACCACCGCAUAUCAACCCCUUAGCAAGGUAUCGCCCCAUCCCCUCUCUUCCUUUUUCUUUUUUUUUUUUCAUUGAAUCGCCUGCUAGCAUUAAUUGACUUUGUACUCGCUCUUUGAACCCUCAAUUCCCAUUAGUUCCUUAAGAACCAACUGGAUUGAGGGAAACCAAAAAUAAAUCAAGUCGUUCAUUUUGGUUUUGUGAUGAAUCUGGAUCGUUUAUUUUGAAUACAAGCUUAAUUUUCAAAGAAUCUUAACUUGUCCCACACCGGAUGGGAUUUAGGUUUUGAAAUUUUAGGGGGUUCUAUAAACCCCAUUCCUUCGGGGAAAAAAAAAGUUUUGGAUAAGCUUGAACAUUGUUCAUACGCAUAAAGCCUAAUAUUUGAGCAUUUAACUCUAAAUUUAGGCUAUUAGAAAAAAUUUAUACUUAACUUCUAAAAAGUUAAGCGUCUAGUCUCAAUAUUUGAUUUUGUUGUUCUCGUGUGGUGGCUGAGUGGAGGAGAGGGGGCACUAAGAGCAUUCAAGUUCAUUCUUGAAGCCGGCUGCACCAACAAAAGGUCAGACCUCACCUGAUAAGGUCAAUUCUGUUACAACACAAGUAGUCCAGACCGAUGAAAGGGAAGCUAAUAUUAUGUGAUCGCGUUGAAGGCCCAACCAUGGGUGAAAAUGGCUAACUAGGGGUUUGGUACACCCCUAACCUACCUCUCUCUUUUAUUCAUGAUAUUUUCAUUUGAAUGUUGUAAUUGUAUAACUUGUAAGAAUUCACAUUGUAUAUUGGAAUCUUUAUUUUUUAGAA